GUGCUCACUGUGGCAGCACGUAUACCACAACUGGAAUGAUACAGAGGCAGUUGGCAUGGCCCCUGCACAAGGAUGACAGCAAAUUGGUGACAGAACACUUGAAGACAU